rnacentral:rRNA from 1 species
AACGCGAAGAACCUUACCUGCCCUUGACGUCCGGAUGACCGGCAAGUAAUGUUGCCCUCUCUUCGGAGCAUCCGAGACAGGUGGUGCAUGGUUGUCGUCAGCUCGUGUCGUGAGAUGUUGGGUUAAGUCCCGCAACGAGCGCAACCCUUAUCUUCAGUAGCCAGCGGUAAGGCCGGGCACUCUGGAGAGACUGCCAGGGAUAACCUGGAGGAAGGUGGGGAUGACGUCAAAUCAUCAUGCCCCUUAUGGGCAGGGCUACACACGUGCUACAAUGGCGUAAACAAAGGGAGGCAAUCGCGCGAGCGUGAGCAAAUCUCAAAAAUAACGUCUCAGUUCGGAUUGUAGUCUGCAACUCGACUACAUGAAGCUGGAAUCGCUAGUAAUCGCGAAUCAGAAUGUCGCGGUGAAUACGUUCCCGGGUCUUGUACACACCG